CCUACGGGGGGCAGCAGUGGGGGAUAUUGGACAAUGGGGGAAACCCUGAUCCAGCGAUGCCGCGUGAGGGAAGAAGGCUUUCGGGUUGUAAACUUCUUUUAAGGGGGACGAACAAAUGACGGUACCCCUUGAAUAAGCCACGGCUAACUACGUGCCAGCAGCCGCGGUAAUGCGUAGGUGGCAAGCGUUAUCCGGAUUUAUUGGGUGUAAAGGGCGUGUAGGCGGGAGCGCAAGUCAGAUGUGAAAACUCAGGGCUCAACCCUGAGCCUGCAUUUGAAACUGUGUUUCUUGAGUGCUGGAGAGGC
rnacentral:rRNA from 1 species